rnacentral:rRNA from 1 species
GGGUUGUGAGGUUAAGCGACUAAGCGUACACGGUGGAUGCCUAGGCAAUCAGAGGCGAUGAAGGACGUGCUAAUCUGCGAAAAGCGUCGGUAAGGUGAUAUGAACCGUUAUAACCGACGAUGUCCGAAUGGGGAAACCCAGUGCAAUUCGUUGCACUAUCGUUUGAUGAAUCCAUAGUCAAACGAGGCGAACCGGGGGAACUGAAACAUCUCAGUACCCCGAGGAAAAGAAAUCAACCGAGAUUCCCCUAGUAGCGGCGAGCGAACGGGGAGCAGCCCAGAGUCUUAAUCAGCAUCAGCAUCAGGAGAACGGUCUGGAAAGGCCGGCAAUAAAGGGUGAUAGCCCCGUAUCCGAAGGUGUUGGUGUUGUGAACUCGACGAGUAGGGCGGGACACGUGUUAUCCUGUCUGAAUAUGGGGGGACCAUCCUCCAAGGCUAAAUACUCCUGAUUGACCGAUAGUGAACCAGUACCGUGAGGGAAAGGCGAAAAGAACCCCGGCGAGGGGAGUGAAAUAGAACCUGAAACCGUGUACGUACAAGCAGUGGGAGCCUUGAUUUAUCAGGGUGACUGCGUACCUUUUGUAUAAUGGGUCAGCGACUUAUAUUCUGUAGCAAGGUUAACCGAAUAGGGGAGCCGUAGGGAAACCGAGUCUUAACUGGGCGAAUGAGUUGCAGGGUAUAGACCCGAAACCCGGUGAUCUAGCCAUGGGCAGGUUGAAGGUUGGGUAACACUAACUGGAGGACCGAACCGACUAAUGUUGAAAAAUUAGCGGAUGACUUGUGGCUGGGGGUGAAAGGCCAAUCAAACCGGGAGAUAGCUGGUUCUCCCCGAAAGCUAUUUAGGUAGCGCCUCGUGAACUCAUAUUCGGGGGUAGAGCACUGUUUCGGCUAGGGGGUCAUCCCGACUUACCAACCCGAUGCAAACUACGAAUACCGAAGAAUGUUAUCACGGGAGACACACGGCGGGUGCUAACGUUCGUCGUGAAGAGGGAAACAACCCAGACCGCCAGCUAAGGUCCCAAAGUCAUGGUUAAGUGGGAAACGAAGUGGGAAGGCUCAGACAGCCAGGAUGUUGGCUUAGAAGCAGCCAUCAUUUAAAGAAAGCGUAAUAGCUCACUGGUCGAGUCGGCCUGCGCGGAAGAUGUAACGGGGCUAAACCAUGCACCGAAGCUGCGGCAGCGACAUGUAAAUGUUGUUGGGUAGGGGAGCGUUCUGUAAGCCUGUGAAGGUGUGCUGCGAGGCAUGCUGGAGGUAUCAGAAGUGCGAAUGCUGACAUAAGUAACGAUAAUGCGGGUGAAAAACCCGCACGCCGGAAGACCAAGGGUUCCUGUCCAACGUUAAUCGGGGCAGGGUGAGUCGACCCCUAAGGCGAGGCAGAAAUGCGUAGUCGAUGGGAAACAGGUUAAUAUUCCUGUACUGGUGAUAAUUGCGAUGGGGGGACGGAGAAGGCUAGGCUGGCCGGGCGACGGUUGUCCCGGUUUAAGGAUGUAGGUGGGUGAAUUAGGCAAAUCCGGUUCGCUAUACACUGAGGUCUGAUGACGAGUCACUACGGUGGCGAAGUAGCUCAUGCCCCGCUUCCAGGAAAAGCCUCUAAGCUCUAGAUUAUCAUUAAUCGUACCCCAAACCGACACAGGUGGUCAGGUAGAGAAUACUCAGGCGCUUGAGAGAACUCGGGUGAAGGAACUAGGCAAAAUGGUGCCGUAACUUCGGGAGAAGGCACGCUGGCAUUAGGUGAAGUGGUUUACCCAUGGAGCUGAAGCCAGUCGCAGAUACCAGCUGGCUGCAACUGUUUAUUAAAAACACAGCACUGUGCAAACACGAAAGUGGACGUAUACGGUGUGACGCCUGCCCGGUGCUGGAAGGUUAAUUGAUGGGGUUAUCCGUAAGGAGAAGCUCUUGAUCGAAGCCCCAGUAAACGGCGGCCGUAACUAUAACGGUCCUAAGGUAGCGAAAUUCCUUGUCGGGUAAGUUCCGACCUGCACGAAUGGCGUAAUGAUGGCCAGGCUGUCUCCACCCGAGACUCAGUGAAAUUGAACUCGCUGUGAAGAUGCAGUGUACCCGCGGCAAGACGGAAAGACCCCGUGAACCUUUACUAUAGCUUGACACUGAACAUUGAGCCUUGAUGUGUAGGAUAGGUGGGAGGCUUUGAAGUGUGGACGCCAGUCUGCAUGGAGCCAACCUUGAAAUACCACCCUUUAAUGUUUGAUGUUCUAACGUUGCCCCGUGAUCCGGGGUGCGGACAGUGUCUGGUGGGUAGUUUGACUGGGGCGGUCUCCUCCCAAAGCGUAACGGAGGAGCACGAAGGUUGGCUAAGCAUGGUCGGACAUCAUGCGGUUAGUGCAAAGGCAUAAGCCAGCUUGACUGCGAGAGUGACGGCUCGAGCAGGUACGAAAGUAGGUCUUAGUGAUCCGGUGGUUCUGAAUGGAAGGGCCAUCGCUCAACGGAUAAAAGGUACUCCGGGGAUAACAGGCUGAUACCGCCCAAGAGUUCAUAUCGACGGCGGUGUUUGGCACCUCGAUGUCGGCUCAUCACAUCCUGGGGCUGAAGUAGGUCCCAAGGGUAUGGCUGUUCGCCAUUUAAAGUGGUACGCGAGCUGGGUUUAGAACGUCGUGAGACAGUUCGGUCCCUAUCUGCCGUGGGCGUUGGAAGAUUGAAAGGGGCUGCUCCUAGUACGAGAGGACCGGAGUGGACGCACCGCUGGUGUUCGGGUUGUCAUGCCAAUGGCACUGCCCGGUAGCUAAGUGCGGAAGAGAUAACCGCUGAAAGCAUCUAAGCGGGAAACUUGCCUUGAGAUGAGUCUUCCCUGACCCUUUAAGGGUCCUAAAGGAACGUUUAAGACGAAGACGUUGAUAGGCUGGGUGUGUAAGCGUAGCGAUACGUUGAGCUAACCAGUACUAAUGAACCGUGAGGCUUAACCUGACAACACCGAAGGUGUUUUAG